rnacentral:rRNA from 1 species
AUGUUGCCGCUUCCUCCUCGUACCAAUGGACCCAACGAUGUUAGGCUGUGGAAACAAGAGUUUAUUCACAGGGUUGAUGCAGUCCUGCAGCAACACAGUGGUGCAGGGGUUGACAACAUUCAGUUUAAGGCUCCAUGUGACGAUGAGCAUGGGGAUCGGAUAGAGGGAUGGGUCCGCUUUGCCAUAGCUUCCAAGGCAAAGCAACUUAUUCUCGAUUUCUCAGCUACACACCAACAUCCAUAUAAAAUCGAUUUGCGGCUUCUCGAUGACAGUAAAAGCUUACACCUGCAAUCUAUAAAACUCUGUUCCGUUUCUCUAAAGGUGCCUGCGGAUUUCAAGGGUUUUCGGAACCUUAAACGGAUUUUCCUAGCAGACACGAAUAUUACCGACGGCGACCUUCAACAUUUGGUGUCCAACUGCACUAGUGUUUUGGAGUUCCUGGGAAUCGCUGGUUGUGGGAUGCUCACAAGGUUACAAAUAUCUCAUCUUUCAAACAAGCUUAAGCAUCUGCAAGUAUAUGACUGCCGUUUGCUUCAAGCAAUGGAGUUAAACUUUGGUCUGGCAAAACUGGAGUACAGAGGCCCAUCUAUAAUAUCGUUAUCGCCUCCUGGAACUUUACUUACUUCUAGCAGAUAUAUGCAUCAAGCUGGAGGGUAUCUGUACUAA